rnacentral:tRNA from 1 species
GCGUCCGUAGCUCAGCGGCAGCAGCGCGGUCUCGACACGGCCGAGGUCGGCGGUUCGAUACCGCCCGGGCGCACCA